ensembl:snRNA U6 U6 spliceosomal RNA
GUGCUUGCUUCGGCAGCGCAUAUACUAAAAUUGGAACAAUACAGAAUAGAUUAGCAUGGCCCCUGUGCAGGGAUGACAUGCAAAUUCAUGAAGUGUCCCAUAUUUUU